GACGGAGGGGGCGAGCGUUGUCCGGAAUUACUGGGCGUAAAGGGCGCGUAGGCGGGUUCCUACGGCGGUGGUGAAAGCUCCCGGCUCAACUGGGAGAGGCCCAUCGCAACGGGGGAUCUCGAGGGUGGUAGAGGCAGAUGGAAUUCCUGGUGUAGCGGUGAAAUGCGUAGAGAUCAGGAGGAACACCCGUGGCGAAGGCGGUCUGCUGGGCCAUGCCUGACGCUGAAGCGCGAAGGCCAGGGGAG
rnacentral:rRNA from 1 species